CCUACGGGAGGCAGCAGUGGGGAAUCUUGCGCAAUGGGCGAAAGCCUGACGCAGCCAUGCCGGGUGAAUGAUGAAGGUCUUAGGAUUGUAAAAUUCUUUCACCGGGGACGAUAAUGACGGUACCCGGAGAAGAAGUCCCGCA
rnacentral:rRNA from 1 species